UACAGAGGACUCAAGCGUUGUUCGGAUUCAUUGGGCGUAAAGGGUGCGUAGGUGGCGCUGUAAGUCAGGUGUGAAAUUUCGGAGCUCAACUUCGAAACUGCAUUUGAUACUGCGGUGCUUGAGGACUGGAGAGGAGACUGGAAUUUACGGUGUAGCAGUGAAAUGCGUAGAGAUCGUAAGGAAGACCAGUGGCGAAGGCGGGUCUCUGGACAGUUCCUGACACUGAGGCACGAAGGCCAGGGGAGCAAACGGG
rnacentral:rRNA from 1 species